rnacentral:rRNA from 1 species
UACGGGGGGUGCAAGCGUUAAUCGGAAUUACUGGGCGUAAAGCGCACGCAGGUGGCUGAGUCAGUCGAUUGUGAAAGCCCUGGGCUUAACCUGGGAAUUGCAGUCGAUACUACUCAGCUAGAGUAUGGGAGAGGGCAGUGGAAUUCCCGGUGUAGCGGUGAAAUGCGUAGAUAUCGGGAGGAACAUCAGUGGCGAAGGCGGCUGCCUGGCCCAAUACUGACACUCAGGUGCGACAGCGUGGGGAGCAAACAGG